AAAUUGCUCCAGAUCUCUCUGCCCAGGACAAACAAGAUAUCGCUGAAGUUGUUAUGGAGCUGGGCGUGGAUGGUUUGAUGGUGUCUAACACCACUGUGUCCAGGCCAGAGAUGCUACAGGACCCACAGAGAUCGGAAGUUGGCGGCCUGAGCGGCCAAGCUCUCAAAGACCUCGCCACACGGACUGUCAGAGAGAUGUACUGCCUGACCGGAGGUAAAAUACCGAUUAUUGGAAUUGGUG